rnacentral:rRNA from 1 species
GACGGAGGGUGCUAGCGUUGUUCGGAAUCACUGGGCGUAAAGGGCGCGUAGGCGGCCUCAGGUGUCGGAUGUGAAAGCCCGGGGCUCAACCCCGGAGGUGCAUCCGAAACUCUGGGGCUGGAGGUCGGAGGAGGAGGGUGGAAUACCCAGUGUAGAGGUGAAAUUCGUAGAUAUUGGGUGGAACACCGGUGGCGAAAGCGGCUCUCUGGUCCGGACCUGACGCUGAGGCGCGAAAGCGUGGGGAGCAAACAGG